CUGUAUUUUUUUUAUUUUUAUUUGGAGUUCUCUUUCCUUCUAUUGUUGACAUUUGUAGAUUGUUUGCCUCCACUGAAGUUUAAUGUUUAGGAAAAAAAAAAAAACAUUUUUUAUUCUCACAAGGAAAAGAAAAAACAAGCUUAUUUUUUACUUUUCACGGACAAUAAGUUCCUUUCCCAAUACAGGAGAGAUCAAAUGACGUGAUCUGUGUUGAAAAGCAAAACUCUACACAUCCCAAAGCCCUAAUCAAAUCAUUCCUCCUAAUGCACUAUUUUGGCCAUGCUCACAAUCCUCCUUCAUGUAGCGUAGCUAAAUGAUGACAUUGGCACUGCAGUUUAAAAAGUUCUGUUUAUUGCAUAGAAUUUACAUAAGGGAUCUUAUGUUCUGUCCUUUUAUUACCUUUGAGAACCCAAAUAUACAGCGUAAACUGACAGGACCACACAUUUUUCAGUUGCACUCAAUUAUAAGCCCGCUCUCAUAAAGUCCGCUUUAUGCAGUCUUGAACACGGUAUCGCAAAUGUCGCUGGCAUUGCACUCGAUUAAUAAUCAAAUGCUCUUCUAACAAAUACUGGGACAAAGCUACUCAUUCAAAACACUAUUCAUGGACAUUUAGUAGCAUAAAUGCACCGGCACCAUUCUAGGUCAGGAAUGUUCUGACAGCUCAUGUUCUGCUUGAAACUGCCCGAAGGUUGAAAGGUUCACGCAAAGUGAUGCCCAAGCAGUUUGACCUCACUAGUGACUAUAUCCCUCUUUCCCUUACUCCCUUCUAAACUGCAGUUAAUUGAUAGUUACUGUGCGACACCUGUCUGACUUGUUUUGUGCUCAAUUUUAUUUUCUUGCAAAAUAUAUUGUAUUUAUUCCACCACAUUAUGCCUUUUUAAUGUGCUGCUUGGUAUUUCUGAGGCAUUCACCUGUACGAGAAGAAAAAUAGGAUAUAACUAGUUUCGCAUAUGUUUUUAUUUUAGGUUUUUCCCCUUUGUAAUUAGUGAUUGCGAUGAGUACGUAAAAUAACCACUAGUGCUGGUACGUUUCUACUCGUUAUUUUGUAUGAAAAGUAAUGAGGGUCAACUGUGCAAUGGUAUUCCAUGUUGUAUUACUGUAAAGAUGAGAGAUGGGCCUAGACCGCACCCUUUAACACAACAAAGAGAGUGGAAACAGAAUCCAGACAUUUUAUUUCCUCAUUUCAAAAGGCACAAUAGAAGGAAAAAAAAGCAAAGGCGAGUGGACAAAAAAAGAAAUAAAUGAAAACAAGGUUAAGCUGUGAGCCCUUCUGGAAGCUGAGCGAGAAAUCUCCACCGCUGACUUUGUGGCAUUAUGGGAGCAGAGAGGGUUGGAGGGGGCUACUGCACGUUGACAUAUAGUGCACAUGGAAGAAAAAUGCAUAUUCCUAAUUGUUAACGGUACAACUUCCAGAGAGGAUGUCUAUUGUGUUGCCUUUGCAGAUCAAGUGUAGAGGAGAAGCAGCAAGUGUUAAAAGAAAUAUAAAUGAUUAAGCCUCGCCCUUUUCAUCUCCAUUAACCCCUCCCCCCACAUAAACCCCUCCUACCACAACAUACAUGCGAGGAAAGCUCGAGUCAUCCAGAUUCAGUCUCUCGUGCACAAUAUUAAAGCUUACUUGAAAGGAG
rnacentral:lncRNA from 1 species